CCCCUCUCCAGAUCGCAACUGGAGAGUUUCAAGUACUCUACCAGUCUUGACUACUGGAGGGAGAGUCAAGCAGAGGUGUAACCAUUCCAUUCCUAGCUUGGGCAGUGGCUAGUGAGUGGUAGGCAAUCUGCUACAAGU